ACGAACGCUGGCGGCGUGCCUAAUACAUGCAAGUCGAGCGGAGUUGAUGAAGUGCUUGCACUUCUGAGACUUAGCGGCGGACGGGUGAGUAACACGUAGGUAACCUGCCCAUAAGACUGGGAUAACCCACGGAAACGUGAGCUAAUACCAGAUAGGCAUUUUCCUCGCAUGAGGGAGAUGAGAAAGGCGGAGCAAUCUGCCACUUAUGGAUGGACCUGCGGCGCAUUAGCUAGUUGGUAAGGUAACGGCUUACCAAGGCGACGAUGCGUAGCCGACCUGAGAGGGUGAUCGGCCACACUGGGACUGAGACACGGCCCAGACUCCUACGGGAGGCAGCAGUAGGGAAUCUUCCGCAAUGGACGAAAGUCUGACGGAGCAACGCCGCGUGAGUGAUGAAGGUUUUCGGAUCGUAAAGCUCUGUUGCCAGGGAAGAACGCCUAGGAGAGUAACUGCU
rnacentral:rRNA from 1 species